rnacentral:rRNA from 1 species
UACGUAGGUGACAAGCGUUGUCCGGAUUUACUGGGCGUAAAGAGCGCGCAGGCGGUCGAUCAAGUCGAGUGUGAAAGCCCCCGGCUCAACUGGGGAGGGUCAUUCGAUACUGAUCGACUCGAAGGCAGGAGAGGGUAGUGGAAUUCCCGGUGUAGUGGUGAAAUGCGUAGAUAUCGGGAGGAACACCAGUGGCGAAGGCGGCGCGCUGGAUCUCUUCUGACGCUGAUGCGCGAAAGCCAGGGGAGCAAACGGG